AUGAACGCUGGCGGCGUGCUUCACACAUGCCAGUCGCACGAUGAAGCCCAGCUUGCUGGGUGGAUUAGUGGCGAACGGGUGAGUAACACGUGAGUAACCUGCCCUUAACUCUGGGAUAAGCCUGGGAAACUGGGUCUAAUACCGGAUAGGAGCGUCCACCGCAUGGUGGGUGUUGGAAAGAUUUAUCGGUUUUGGAUGGACUCGCGGCCUAUCAGCUUGUUGGUGAGGUAAUGGCUCACCAAGGCGACGACGGGUAGCCGGCCUGAGAGGGUGACCGGCCACACUGGGACUGAGACACGGCCCAGUCUCCUACGGGAGGCAGCAGUGGGGAAUAUUGCACAAUGGGCGCAAGCCUGAUGCAGCGACGCCGCGUGAGGGAUGACGGCCCUCGGGUUGUAAACCUCUUUCAGUAGGGAAGAAGCGAAAGUGACGGUACCUGCAGAAGAAGCACCGGCUAACUACGCG
rnacentral:rRNA from 1 species